UGAGAAUGCCGGAAUGAGUAGCGAGAAUUAUGUGAGAAUCAUAAUGGCCGAAAGUCUAAGGUUUCCUGAGGAAGGUUCGUCCUCUCAGGGUUAGCCGGGAGCUAAGGUGAGGCGGAAACGCGUAGCCGAUGCACAUACGGUAGAAAUUCCGUAGCCUCCGAAGAUUUAAGCACAGGGACACUUUUGAAGGGCUGAGCCGGGCGUUGGUUGCCCCGGUCGAAAGGGACACGAUUGAGUGGAAGUCAGUUUGGAAAGAGGCGAGAAAAGCUGUGUGUAUAUGAAAGGAGCCCGUACCGCAAACCGACACAGGUAGACAGGAAGAAGAUUCUAAGGCCAGCGGGAGAAGGGUUGUUAAGGAACUCGGCAAGUUGACCCCGUAACUUCGGGAGAAGGGGUGCUUACGAAGGUAAGCCGCAGAGAAUAGGCCCAAGCGACUGUUUAGCAAAAACACAGCUCUAUGCUAAAUCGAAAGAUGACGUAUAUGGGGUGACACCUGCCCGGUGCUGGAAGGUUAAGAGGAGAUGUGAGAGCAUUGAAUUGAAGCCCCAGUAAACGGCGGCCGUAACUAUAACGGUCCUAAGGUAGCGAAAUUCCUUGUCAGGUAAGUUCUGACCCGCACGAAUGGCGUAACGAUUUGGGCACUGUCUCAACAGCCCGCCCGGCGAAAUUGUAGUACCGGUGAAGAUGCCGGUUACCCGCGACUAGACGGAAAGACCCCAUGGAGCUUCACUGCAGCUUAAUAUUGGAUUUCGGUAUUUCAUGUACAGGAUAGGUGGGAGACUGGGAAAUACAGGCGUCAGCUUGUAUGGAGUCAUUGUUGGGAUACCACUCUUGAGGUGCUGGAAUUCUAACCUGUGGCCUUGAAUCAGGUCAGGGGACAUUGUUAGGCGGGCAGUUUGACUGGGGCGGUCGCCUCCUAAAAGGUAACGGAGGCGCUCAAAGGUUCGCUCAGCAUGGACGGAAACCAUGCCAAAGAGUGUAAACGCAUAAGCGAGCCUAACUGCGAGACUGACGGGUCGAGCAGUAACGAAAGUUGGAGUUAGUGAUCCGGCGGUAUAUGUGAGUGGAAAUGCCGUCGCUCAACGGAUAAAAGCUACCCUGGGGAUAACAGGCUGAUCUCCCCCAAGAGUCCACAUCGACGGGGAGGUUUGGCACCUCGAUGUCGGCUCAUCGCAUCCUGGGGCUGAAUUCGGUCCCAAGGGUUUGGCUGUUCGCCAAUUAAAGCGGUACGCGAGCUGGGUUCAGAACGUCGUGAGACAGUUCGGUCCCUAUCUGUCGUGGGCGUUGGAGAUUUGAAAGGAGCUGUCCCUAGUACGAGAGGACCGGGAUGGACGCACCUCUGGUGCACCAGUUGUCACGCCAGUGGCACAGCUGGGCAGCUAUGUGCGGAACGGAUAAACGCUGAAAGCAUCUAAGCGUGAAGCCGCCCUUAAGAUAAGAUCUCCUUUAAGACCCCUUGUAGACUACGAGGUUGAUAGGUCUGAUGUGUAAGCACGGUGACGUGUUUAGCUUGCAGAUACUAAUCGGUCGUUCGCUUUUCCU
rnacentral:rRNA from 1 species